rnacentral:rRNA from 1 species
CCUACGGGGGGCUGCAGUGGGGAAUAUUGCACAAUGGGCGCAAGCCUGAUGCAGCCAUGCCGCGUGUGUGAAGAAGGCCUUCGGGUUGUAAAGCACUUUCAGCGGGGAGGAAGGCGUUAAGGUUAAUAACCUUGUCGAUUGACGUUACCCGCAGAAGAAGCACCGGCUAACUCCGUGCCAGCAGCCGCGGUAAUACGGAGGGUGCAAGCGUUAAUCGGAAUUACUGGGCGUAAAGCGCACGCAGGCGGUCUGUCAAGUCGGAUGUGAAAUCCCCGGGCUCAACCUGGGAACUGCAUUCGAAACUGGCAGGCUAGAGUCUUGUAGAGGGGGGUAGAAUUCCAGGUGUAGCGGUGAAAUGCGUAGAGAUCUGGAGGAAUACCGGUGGCGAAGGCGGCCCCCUGGACAGAGACUGACGCUCAGGUGCGAAAGCGUGGGGAGCAAACAGGAUUAGAUACCCCUGUAGUC